UGCAGUCGAGCGAACAGAUGAGAAGCUUGCUUCUCUGAUGUUAGCGGCGGACGGGUGAGUAACACGUGGGUAACCUACCUAUAAGACUGGGAUAACUCCGGGAAACCGGGGCUAAUACCUGAUAAUAUUUUGAACCGCAUGGUUCGAUAGUGAAAGGCGGCUUCGGCUGUCACUUAUAGAUGGACCCGCGCCGUAUUAGCUAGUUGGUAAGGUAAUGGCUUACCAAGGCGACGAUACGUAGCCGACCUGAGAGGGUGAUCGGCCACACUGGAACUGAGACACGGUCCAGACUCCUACGGGAGGCAGCAGUAGGGAAUCUUCCGCAAUGGGCGAAAGCCUGACGGAGCAACGCCGCGUGAGUGAUGAAGGUUUUCGGAUCGUAAAACUCUGUUGUUAGGGAAGAACAAAUUUGUUAGUAACUGAACAAGUCUUGACGGUACCUAACCAGAAAGCCACGGCUAACUACGUGCCAGCAGCCGCGGUAAUACGUAGGUGGCAAGCGUUAUCCGGAAUUAUUGGGCGUAAAGCGCGCGUAGGCGGUUUCUUAAGUCUGAUGUGAAAGCCCACGGCUCAACCGUGGAGGGUCAUUGGAAACUGGGGAACUUGAGUGCAGAAGAGGAGAGUGGAAUUCCAUGUGUAGCGGUGAAAUGCGCAGAGAUAUGGAGGAACACCAGUGGCGAAGGCGGCUCUCUGGUCUGUAACUGACGCUGAUGUGCGAAAGCGUGGGGAUCAAACAGGAUUAGAUACCCUGGUAGUCCACGCCGUAAACGAUGAGUGCU
rnacentral:rRNA from 1 species